ACCGAUCCAACAACUGCGACGGAAUUUGAAACCCAUCCGCAUUGAGAAGCAUCGGUCUGAAGGUUUUGGCAGCCACGAGCUAUUUGGAGUUGAAGCUGAGAAAAAAGAAGGAUUUCGGGUUUAGAGAAUAACAGAAGAAAAAAAAAUUAUGAUCCUUUAAAAAGUUUCACAAUUGCAAAGGGAAAGGCGUACUGAUCUUAUUAAGGCAGCAAAACCGCUUAGGACAAGAAAGAAGGAAGGUGAGAGAGAUGGAGAUCCUGGAGAAGGAUCUCAAGACCCUAAAGGAGCAGAUUGAUAAGUUGAAUAUACAGAUUUUUUAGUGCCAGCCAACAGCAUCCAGAUCAACGCUGACAGAAAACUAUCUAACAUUUGAAACAGUAAGGAACUUAUGUAAAGUCAUUAGUUCGAAAUAAAAGACCGCAGCAGCGCGCAGGAAGAGAAGAGUUUUGCGCUUGGGCUUGCAUCUCGCCGCUUUCUAUUUCUUUCUUUCUCUCUCGAUCUCUCUCUAAACUUCGCCGCUAUCCCCUUUCUUGCUCUCUCUCGAUCUCUCUCGAAACUCCACCGAAUCAUCUCUAUCAAGAUCUCAAGCUCUCCUUCCCUCUCUUUCGUCACUUCAUCUCUUGCUCGGCACACCUCUGGAAGAGUCUGGACUCCUUUUUUUCCUCUCUUAUCCUUCUGUUCUCUCUAUUUCAGAGACUGAAAGAUAGAAUUUGGCUAAGCAUCCUGGGUUUUGAUGAAUUCAGAUCAGAGAAAGAUGGAGAGAGGGAGAGCAGAGGUAGUGGUUUCGGUCGAGUACCCAACAAAGCUCUGAAGGGAGAUUUUAUCAACACCAAAAAAGGGUGAUCAAUACGUAGUGGAAGACAUCUGAAUCAGUGGACAUCUUUAGUUAUUGAAGAACAACAGUGUCACUGGUUGAUUGGAAGGUACUUUUUUUAUUGGUCUUUUUUCUUCAAAUUGAUCGUCUUCGUGUUCAGAUUUGUGGGAGUGAUAUUACAUAUUUGUAUUAUCAAUUAUUGUUUAAAUUAUAAAUGAUAAUCAUGCUUUGCAAA